AGAGUUUGAUCCUGGCUCAGGAUGAACGCUGGCGGCGUGCUUAACACAUGCAAGUCGAACGAGGUCCAACCUUCGGGUGAAGACCGAGUGGCGAACGGGUGAGUAACACGUGGGGAACCUGCCCUUCUCUCUGGGAUAACGUCGAGAAAUCGGUGCUAAUACCGGAUACUCCUUGCGGAUCGCAUGGUCUGCUCGGGAAAGCUCCGGCGGAGAGGGAUGGCCCCGCGGCCCAUUAGCUAGUUGGUGAGGUAAUGGCCCACCAAGGCGACGAUGGGUAGCCGAACUGAGAGGCUGAUCGGCCACACUGGGACUGAGACACGGCCCAGACUCCUACGGGAGGCAGCAGUGGGAAAUUUUGCACAAUGGGCGAAAGCCUGAUGCAGCAACGCCGCGUGCGGGAUGAAGGCCCUCGGGUUGUAAACCGCUUUCAGCAGGGACGAAUAUGACGGUACCUGCAGAAGAAGCCCCGGCUAACUACGUGCCAGCAGCCGCGGUAAUACGUAGGGGGCAAGCGUUAUCCGGAUUCAUUGGGCGUAAAGCGCGCGUAGGCGGCUUGUUAAGUCAGAUGUGAAAACCGGGGGCUCAACCCGCGGCCUGCAUCUGAAACUGGCAGGCUUGAGUCUGGUAGAGGAAAGUGGAAUUCCUGGUGUAGCGGUGAAAUGCGCAGAUAUCAGGAGGAACACCAGUGGCGAAGGCGGCUUUCUGGGCCACGACUGACGCUGAGGCGCGAAAGCUAGGGGAGCAAACAGGAUUAGAUACCCUGGUAGUCCUAGCCGU
rnacentral:rRNA from 1 species